AUUGAACGCUGGCGGCAGGCUUAACACAUGCAAGUCGAACGAGUGGCGGACGGGUGAGUAAUGCUUGGGAAUCUAGCUCAUGGAGGGGGAUAACUACGGGAACCUGUAGCUAAUACCGCGUAUCAUAGGAUGAGCCCAAGUGGUAUUAGGUAGUUGGUGAGGUAAAGGCUCACCAAGCAGACGAUCUCUAGCUGGUCUGAGGGGAUGACCGGCCAGCCUGGGACGGAUACACGGCCAAGACUCCUACGGUAGGCAGCAGAGGGGAACAUUGCGCAAGGGGGGCAGCCCUGACGCAGCCAUGCCGCGUAUAUGAAGAAGGCCUUCGGAUUGUAAAAUACUUUCAGCGGGGAGGCGUUACCCGCAGAAGAAGCAACGGCUAACUCCGUGCCAGCCGCCGCGGUAAUAC
rnacentral:rRNA from 1 species